AGAGAUAAAAGUAAAAGAGAAAGAUAUAGAGAGAAAGAUAGAGAGAGAGAGAGACUAAGUUAAUAAUAGAUUAGUGGGAGUGGAUUAGUGGUGAGCUAG